rnacentral:rRNA from 1 species
AACCUUGUCAGAGCUUGACAUACUACAAAUACUCUUGAAAGAGAAGGCCUUCAUGAACAUGAAUAUAGGUGGUGCAUUGAUAUUGUCAGAUCGUGCCUUAAGGUGUUGGUUUAAAUCCACGAAUGAGAACGACCAUCAUGUUUAGUUUCAUCAUUGAUUUUAAAACUUUGAAUGGAAUGCCAGUGAUAAGUCAGAGGAGGUGAGAAUCACAUCAAGUCAUCAUGUCUUUUAUGCCUUGG